rfam:Tupaia chinensis contig120115, whole genome shotgun sequence.
AUAUUUAGUCUGGCAGGGGAAGUACCGUAAUCAUGAAGGGAGAUUCCCCAGGGCAGAGCUUAUCCAUUGUACUUGGAUGUGUUCCCCUGCGAUUUCCCCAAAUGUGGGAAAAUCAACUACAUAAUGUGUGGUAGUGGGGGACUGCAUUUGUGCUUUCCUCUU